AACAUCACGAUCCGGUUGGGCAGCACAGGAAUUUAAGGAUAUAGUUAGGAAGGGGCUGUUGAACAGAGGUAUGAGGGACUGGGUUAACUCGAGGAGGAGGGGCACAGAGAAAGGAGGACCCAGCUAACCAAUGGGAGGUGCUGAGGUUGAGGGAGGUCAGAGGGAAGGAGAAACUACACUUAAGAGCUGUAAGUUGAGCUAGCCAAUAGAGGGGAAGAGAUUGUGGGUGGGCGUGCCCUAAAGCUAAUCGGAAUGGAACUGGAGGUACGCCGGACCUAGGCGAGGGAUACGACAUCCUCCAAUCGGAAGAAAGCGCCCUACUAAUCAGCGCUCGCCAACAGCAGACAGGCGGGCCCGUGGGCCAAUCGCAAACAAGGACUGCAGAAGGCCAGGCUAGGAAGAAGAGGCAGGAGGCAGGAGACAGGCUGAGGUAGCCAAUCAUUGUCUGUAAAGAACAGCGGGCGGGCCGGCAGGCCUUUUAAGGACUCCGAGGGUCUCGAAAGUGGCCUGUGAGGGGCCUUUUAGGGCAGGAGGUGGCAUUGUUCAAAGGGGGGACGGUGUGGUCCCAAGAACCGGGCUAAGAUACGCGGUUGUGAAUCUGGGAUCCUCACCUCGGGCCUUGCGCCGACUCUCCUGGUCGCCGAGGCUGGGUGGCUUCUCCAUGGAGCUCAGGAUGGAGCCCAGUAGGUCCGCCAUCUUGGGAAUAACUGAGAGGGGGCGGUGCGUCUUAAAGGGAAGGGCGAAAUGCCUUUAAGGCCGGAAACACGUCGGCCGCGAAAAACCGCGCUGCCCCGCCCCGCCCCGCUUAAGGCAGCGAGCCCAGGCCGGCGGACUUGCGUGGCGAUCUUCCCGCCCCGCCCCCAGCAGACACAGGCCGGAGGCUAGCUGGUGCAGAGAUGUUUAAUGGCAGUUCGUAUAAACCAAGCCCAUGCACAAGUAGAAAGUGCUUGUGGAGCCAGCCGGGGGCCCCCCGCCGCGCCAGGGAACCAGACGCCCGGCCGCGCAGCGCCUUAAAUAGAUUCUUCACUAUACUCUGUAUGUUACAGUAUGUACAAACCCCUCCCCACGGGAGCGGGACUCCGCCUCGCGAUCCUAUGUACACCCCCUCCUCUUUGGACCCCGAGGUGGGUGGCCAGAGUCAGGGUGAUGGGGAAGACAGGGCCAGGAAAGGAGGAAACAGACGCAAACAUGCGGAGUCAGGGUGGGGCAGAGUCACCCCUGAAACACGAGGGCGCGCGCAGCGAAGGCAGUGGUGGGGACCGAGGCGGAUACAUUCAUCAUAGACUCGUCGAACAAAUAAAUAAGGCAAGUCAGGAAGGUCCUAGUCAGGUGCAGGCAGGAGCGGGGUUAUGGAGAAGGUGCAGGCAGGGCUCCGUAGGUCACAGCUGAAGAUGCAGAUAUGUGGGGCGUGGGUCUUCUGGAGCCAGGGACCAAAAGAGGAGGCACGACCAGAGGGGAGGCCAAGUGUGGGACUAAGGCUGGGGGAAGGGGCGGGGGUUCUACAAAGGGCUCCCAAGAAGGUGAAGGAGAAAAAGCUGCCGACAGGGGGCUCCCCUAGUCCCGAAAGCCUUCUCCUUGUUAAGACAGCCAGGGCCCCCCGGGGUGUGGAGAAAGGCGGUGGAGAGGUCAGGUGGCCAGUCCUGGCUGAGGCAGCCCUUCCAGCUCCUGGUUCUGCUUCAGUUCCCUCAUCCUGUGGAGACACAGAGCGGAGUCAGAGGAGAGUAGUGGAUAAAGAAAAGGUGACGGGGUAGAGAUCCAGCCAGAAGGCUCUAACCUGCUUGUACUUCCGGUAACAACGUUGGAUCACAGCUGCGGCUACCUCCUGCUGCUCCUUCAACCUCCGGCCCUAAGGGAAGAAAACGAAGCCUCCUCAUCUCAGCAUCUCACUGCCCACCUAGUAGACUUCCUCCCGAGGUCCCCUCCUUAAAACGUGUUGGUUUUUA